GAUAUGUGCCUGAAAGACAAGGACCACUUUGAUAGAGUGUACUAUAGAGGUUCAAACCCUCUCACAUCC
rnacentral:tRNA from 1 species